UACAGGGGGUGCAAACGUUGCUCGGAAUCAUUGGGCGUAAAGCGCACGUAGGCGGUUCGUUAUGUCGGAUGUGAAGCCCUUGGCUUAACCGAGGAAGUGCAUCCGAAACUGGCGAGCUAGAGUACUAAAGAGGAUCGCGGAAUUCCCCGGUGUAGAGGUGAAAUUCGUAGAUAUCGGGAGGAACACCGGUGGCGAAGGCGGCGAUCUGGGUAGAUACUGACGCUGAGGUGCGAAAGCGUGGGGGAGCAAACAGGG
rnacentral:rRNA from 1 species